GGCGCGAUAGCUAAGGUGUAAAGCGCUUGGCUUCCGAACCAGGGGUCCCAGGUUCGAAUCCAGGUGAAGCCU
rnacentral:tRNA from 1 species